CACCAGCGCCACGAGUGGUAUUCACGUUUAUUGGGCCUAAAGCGUCCGUAGCUGGUUUUGUAAAUUCAUUGUGAAAGAGUAGGGCUUAACCUUACUAUGUGCAACGAACACUGCAAAGCUUGAGACCGGGAGGAGUAAGAGGUAUUUCGGGGGGACUGGUAAAAUGGAAUAAUCCUCGAAGGACCACCAAUGGCGAAGGCAUCUUACUAGAACGGUUCUGACAGUGAGGGACGAAAGCUAGGGGAGCGAACCGG
rnacentral:rRNA from 1 species